UACAGAGGUCCCAAGCGUUGUUCGGAUUCACUGGGCGUAAAGGGCUCGUAGGCGGCCAACUAAGUCAGACGUGAAAUCCCUCGGCUUAACCGGGGAACUGCGUCUGAUACUGGAUGGCUAGAGUUUGGGAGAGGGAUGCGGAAUUCCAGGUGUAGCGGUGAAAUGCGUAGAUAUCUGGAGGAACACCGGUGGCGAAGGCGGCAUCCUGGACCAACACUGACGCUGAGGAGCGAAAGCCAGGGGAGCAAACGGG
rnacentral:rRNA from 1 species